rnacentral:rRNA from 1 species
UACAGAGACUGCAAGCGUUAUUCGGAUUCACUGGGCGUAAAGGGCGCGCAGGCGGCCAAGUGUGUGAGGCGUGAAAGCCCGAUGCUCAACAUCGGAACUGCACCUCAAACUACAUGGCUAGAGCAUUGGAGAGGGUAGCGGAAUUCACGGUGUAGCAGUGAAAUGCGUAGAUAUCGUGAGGAACACCAGAGGCGAAGGCGGCUACCUGGACAAUUGCUGACGCUCAGGCACGAAAGCGUGGGGAGCAAAAGGG